rnacentral:rRNA from 1 species
GAUGAACGCUGGCGGCGUGCCUAAUACAUGCAAGUCGAGCGAUUAAGCCGGAGCUUGCUCUGGUGAAGUAGUGGCGAACGGGUGAGUAACACGUGAGUAACCUGCCCUUGACUCUGGGAUAACUGCUAGAAAUGGUAGCUAAUACCGGAUACGACCCUCGGCGGCAUCGCCAUGGGGUGGAAAGAAUUUCGGUCAAGGAUGGACUCGCGGCCUAUCAGCUAGUUGGUGAGGUAACGGCUCACCAAGGCGACGACGGGUAGCCGGCCUGAGAGGGUGACCGGCCACACUGGGACUGAGACACGGCCAGACUCCUACGGGAGGCAGCAGUGGGGAAUAUUGCACAAUGGGCGCAAGCCUGAUGCAGCAACGCCGCGUGAGGGAUGACGGCCUUCGGGUUGUAAACCUCUUUUAGUAGGGAAGAAGCGAAAGUGACGGUACCUGCAGAAAAAGCACCGGCUAACUACGUGCCAGCAGCCGCAGUAA